AAGUCGAGCGGCAAGGUGGAGCAAUCCACCNUAGAGCGGCGGACUGGUGAGUAACGCGUGGGUGACCUACCGAGAGGACGGGGAUAGCCAUUAGAAAUAGUGGGUAAUACCGGAUGUGGUUACGGUACGGAAGUACGGUAAAGAAAGGGGCUUAGGCCCCGCCUUAAGAUGGGCCCGCGUCCCAUUAGCUAGUUGGAGGGGUAACGGCCUGCCAAGGCGAUGAUGGGUAGCCGGCCUGAGAGGGUGAACGGCCACACUGGGACUGAGAUACGGCCCAGACUCCUACGGGAGGCAGCAGCUAAGAAUAUUCCGCAAUGGACGAAAGUCUGACGGAGCGACGCCGCGUGGAUGACGAAGGCCGAAAGGUUGUAAAAUUCUUUUAUUGCCGAAGAAUAAGGCGGGCAGGGAAUGGCCUGCUGAUGACGAUAGGCGAUGAAUAAGCCCCGGCUAAUUACGUGCCAGCAGCCGCGGUAACACGUAAGGGGCGAGCGUUGUUCGGAAUUAUUGGGCGUAAAGGGCGCGUAGGCGGUUAUGUAAGCCCGGCGUGAAAACUAUCGGCUUAACCGGUAAACUGCGUUGGGAACUGUGUAACUAGAGUCAUGGAGGGGUAGUUGGAAUUCCGCGUGUAGGGGUGAAAUCUGUAGAUAUGCGGAAGAACACCGGUGGCGAAGGCGAAC
rnacentral:rRNA from 1 species